UUCAGACUGGAGGUUUCUUCCUGUAGCAACACUUACACACAAAGUUUCUACUGCGGCUGAAUUUAAUCGAGGCUCAUUGAUUUUCCGCAGGCUGGCUACAGCAGAGCCUGGUUUUUUCUGCUCAAUCUAUUAUUAGGGAGGUCAUGAAACCACCUGAUGUCUGAUUUCGACAGAGAAGGAGAAAAAAGUUUGAAGAGACUGCUAGAUCCAAUACUUCCUGACUUAGCAGUGUGCACAGGAACCAAAAGGAUCCAGAGAUGACUCUUCUCCUGACGUCACCAGCAAUAUCCCCUUUGUAUUAAGUGAAUUAAGAAGGCAGUAUAUUUAGCAGCUGAAGUCAAUAUUGACUGCCAUAAAGAAGAGUUAAUAAUUCCGCUGUCCCUCCAAAAGUGGUCACAAAGGACUUUGUUCAGUCCCACAGAGGUUCUUGAAAAAUUAAGUACCCAGAAACUUGGGUGAAACAACUUCAUGAAACAAAGUCAAGUCAGCAGAUUACUGCAGGGAAAUGAAUUAUUCCCUGACAGAGUGCUCUGCUGGUGGUCUUCCUCCUACUCACUUGCCUCUCAACACGUCAACCUCUGUUCUACCAGCGAAAAACCGUCCCGCGAGGCCCCCAGGUACAGCCCUGUGAUGCUUCACAGGAACAAUGCCCACAUCCAUCCAGAGAGGUGGAUUUUGUCUUCCAAUCACCAUGCCAACAUGACAAGAAUCAGAACAGGGCUCCAACGAUGGUGAACUAAAGCAAUUUAGCUACAGAUACACAACUAAUACUGAGACUGGUCACUUUUACUUUUCAUUUUUACUCUCUGUUUUUCUCUAGUUGCAAGGAGACAAAAUAGACUUUCUGAGAUACGUUUUGUUGUCAGCUGCAGCACUGAGAAAAGUAACGUUAAGAUCUUAGAUCUUGUUUUAUGCUUUUGGAAAGCAACAACUGGGUUUUGUUACACAGACUGAAAUGAAAGAAAGUUAGAGGCCAACCUGAAGUCAGAAGUCAAGGGAAUUUUUUGACUUAAGAUAUUCAUUUCAGCCUAAAUGAAAUCUUUUUUUGGCCUAUGACUAUUCAAGGGGCAUUUUUCAUACAUGGUGAGAACAUGGAAAGAAGGAAAUCCUGCUUAUGCCCUGAAGUCCAGCAUUUAGACAAAUUAUUUUGAGUUA